rnacentral:rRNA from 1 species
GUGCCAGCCGCCGCGGUAAUACGGAGGAUCCGAGCGUUAUCCGGAUUUAUUGGGUUUAAAGGGAGCGUAGGCGGACGCUUAAGUCAGUUGUGAAAGUUUGCGGCUCAACCGUAAAAUUGCAGUUGAUACUGGGUGUCUUGAGUACAGUAGAGGCAGGCGGAAUUCGUGGUGUAGCGGUGAAAUGCUUAGAUAUCACGAAGAACUCCGAUUGCGAAGGCAGCCUGCUGGACUGUAACUGACGCUGAUGCUCGAAAGUGUGGGUAUCAAACAGGAUUAGAUACCCUGGUAGUCCACACAGUAAACGAUGAAUACUCGCUGUUUGCGAUAUACAGUAAGCGGCCAAGCGAAAGCGUUAAGUAUUCCACCUGGGGAGUACGCCGGCAACGGUGAAACUCAAAGGAAUUGGCGG